UACAUGGCUGUAUAAACAUAAGGGGCUAUUAUUAUGUUGAUUAUCAUUGAUGACAGCUCUGACAAAUGUGCUAAUUAUACUUAUAAAAUGAAGAUGCAAAUGUUUUACUCCAGACUUUCAAGAGAGGCCUAUUCUUCUCCUAAAAAGAGAGAUUAUAAGCACAAAAUAUUCUUUUUUAUUAGCACUGCAAUAACUGUUCCAUGUAAUAUUAAUAACAAUAAUAAAAUGUAAGCCAUCUCUACAUUAUUUUCAGGGAGAAAAGAACACAAGAGCUAAAAAGUUGAGCGAGCAGGAACGUGUCCCCUUUAAUGAUAUCUGUAAAAAGGCAGUGGAUGUUCUGGUACCUCUACGUUUCUCUCCAGUGCCCUCUAUUUUGCAUUUACCCUGACUCGUAUUUGCACCCCUUUCUUGUUUGGCAUCGUCUGUGACCUCAGGGGAUGUAUUCAGAGAAGGGGUCACGAUGAGCCCUUCAGCUGAUUUUCUCUUUUGUCCAACAGACACAUCUUUCCAAAACUGCUCCAGACCUGUCCAGUGGUAUUCAUCAGUACCUUUGGCCAGAAUCCUUGGAUAAAUUUUGAUUGCAUAUGACAAGGUUCACUUCAAGGGCUUUUGUGUAAUUUGAGUUGCAUGUACAUGGCGAAGCUGCUACCCAGAAAAACCAUGACAACUCAGUUUUUCUACAUCAUUUGGGACAAGCUGUCUUUGGACAGCUGGGUAAAGUUUGAUGAAGAAAGCACAUCUGCCUUGAUUUUCUGUGACCAGUUCUAAAGGACAUGUUGGGCAUCGUAGCCUUCAGUCUACUGCGCAGUGACAGUCUGGUUUGGGCCACCUCGUAUUCUAGGUGCUCUGAAGGAUACAGGGAGAAAUAUUGUGGCUUCUGACCAAAUACGUUCUAAUUUAGCUGAGGACAAAUGGAAUCACCUUUCUAAAAGAAUCUCAAAUGACGCUGAAUUUAAUUUGCAGCUCAUAGAAUCACAGACACUACGGUUCGGGCAGGAUCGAAUCCAUACUUUCACAAACUGUCGUCUCGUGUAAGACUAUUUUGUUACAUGCCUACCAGAUUUAACGACUGAGUCCAACAGAGCUCAGGUGUCUUUCCCAAGGAUGCACAGAUGGAGGUCACGCAUUUAAAGCAGUAUCAACCUCGUCGUGUCACUGAAAAGGCUGGCGCUGAGAGAAGUGCCUUGUCCUGAAUGUCACUCAGUGCUGGUAAAUGCACCAGUGGGAAUUCAAACCCAGGGCUUUACACCUGCAUUUCACUCACAGUGUGAGAAACACAGACACGGAAACAUA